AUGUUACAGUGCUCUUUUAGCUCAACUGUCUGCAGAUGGCUUAGGUGUAAACAGCUCAGUGGGCCCUUUGCCUCAUUGGGUGAGGUGGCUACCCUCCACCAGCGAAGGCAAAGGGCCAUUGUGACAGCCUUUUGUGUUCACACUUGUGGUUGCCAAGCUCUUAUCUGGCAUCCAGGAAAAAUGAGGACGCAUGAAUGAAUUGAAGGAUGGUAAAUGUGGGGGAUUAUACUGCUGAUCAAAGUGGCUCUCAGCAGGAAGGGGAGCUGAAAAGGGGACGAGGAGGAGGGAGGUCAUCUUCCUCUGAAGUCCGGCCAUCUCUGGCAGGAUUCUUCUCUGGAGUUACACCCUCAAGCUGUCCCUCUAAAGUCAAGCUGCUUCUCUCCAACGUCCAGCCACAGCACUGAAUCCAGCUGCUUCUCCUCUCUGCUGGCUGAGUCUGGGGUCUUUAUAGGCAACAGCAUGGGGAGGGACAGGCCAUGGGUAGUUUAGGAAAAGGCAACAUUUGAGAGGGAAAACAGGUAUGGAAAUUCUCACUUUGGGUCACAGCUUCAGGCUUUUGGGCUUGAGGGUGGGGUUUUCACUGGGAACCCACCCUUUUCUGCCUAGAAUCUCUCUGCCUCCUGUCUAUCAAUAAUAUACAAACUGCUUUGUAUAGCUACCUUAAAAAUAUUUUCUUCCAAAACAAUCAAAUCUGACAGGAAUGUUUUGGCCAUCUUAAAAAUAAAAACCAAUGGCAACAAAAUGAAAAAGCAUGGAGAGACAAGUAGAAUAUUCUGUCUUGAAUUUAUAGUGGGAAGCUCGAUAGAACAAAAACUUCCAUCAAAUCUUCCUCAUCUCAGCCCAUUUGGAAAGGUGACAAGAACCAUAUCUCUCACGACAUUAUGUACUGCAUCUCCAGUGAACAGAGACCAGCACUGUGUUGAGAAAACAUUAACAGCUCAUAAUUAUAAGUUGAAAGAAUAUUCAAAUGCAUAAAUAAUCCACAGCUAAUGGUGCAGUCUGUCCUAAAAAUCUAAAUUUGCUCAUCAUUUUAAAAAGGCAAAAAUGCUGAAAUAAGAUAUAUGAGGAUAAGUCUUUGUUGUACAACACAAAACAAAAUUUA
rnacentral:lncRNA from 1 species